AGAGUUUGAUCCUGGCUCAGAUUGAACGCUGGCGGCAGGCCUAACACAUGCAAGUCGAGCGGAUGAAGGGAGCUUGCUCCUGGAUUCAGCGGCGGACGGGUGAGUAAUGCCUAGGAAUCUGCCUGGUAGUGGGGGAUAACGUCCGGAAACGGGCGCUAAUACCGCAUACGUCCUGAGGGAGAAAGUGGGGGAUCUUCGGACCUCACGCUAUCAGAUGAGCCUAGGUCGGAUUAGCUAGUUGGUGGGGUAAAGGCCUACCAAGGCGACGAUCCGUAACUGGUCUGAGAGGAUGAUCAGUCACACUGGAACUGAGACACGGUCCAGACUCCUACGGGAGGCAGCAGUGGGGAAUAUUGGACAAUGGGCGAAAGCCUGAUCCAGCCAUGCCGCGUGUGUGAAGAAGGUCUUCGGAUUGUAAAGCACUUUAAGUUGGGAGGAAGGGCAGUAAGUUAAUACCUUGCUGUUUUGACGUUACCAACAGAAUAAGCACCGGCUAACUUCGUGCCAGCAGCCGCGGUAAUACGAAGGGUGCAAGCGUUAAUCGGAAUUACUGGGCGUAAAGCGCGCGUAGGUGGUUCAGCAAGUUGGAUGUGAAAUCCCCGGGCUCAACCUGGGAACUGCAUCCAAAACUACUGAGCUAGAGUACGGUAGAGGGUGGUGGAAUUUCCUGUGUAGCGGUGAAAUGCGUAGAUAUAGGAAGGAACACCAGUGGCGAAGGCGACCACCUGGACUGAUACUGACACUGAGGUGCGAAAGCGUGGGGAAGCAAACCAGGUUUAGAUACCCUGUUAGUUCCCCCCCGUAAACGAAGUCGAUUAGCCGUUGGGAUCCUUGAGAUCUUUAUGGCGCAGCUAACGCGAUAAGUCGACCCGCCUGGGGAGUACGGCCGCAAGGUUAAAACUCAAAUGAAUUGACGGGGGCCCGCACAAGCGGUGGAGCAUGUGGUUUAAUUCGAAGCAACGCGAAGAACCUUACCUGGCCUUGACAUGCUGAGAACUUUCCAGAGAUGGAUUGGUGCCUUCGGGAACUCAGACACAGGUGCUGCAUGGCUGUCGUCAGCUCGUGUCGUGAGAUGUUGGGUUAAGUCCCGUAACGAGCGCAACCCUUGUCCUUAGUUACCAGCACCUCGGGUGGGCACUCUAAGGAGACUGCCGGUGACAAACCGGAGGAAGGUGGGGAUGACGUCAAGUCAUCAUGGCCCUUACGGCCAGGGCUACACACGUGCUACAAUGGUCGGUACAAAGGGUUGCCAAGCCGCGAGGUGGAGCUAAUCCCAUAAAACCGAUCGUAGUCCGGAUCGCAGUCUGCAACUCGACUGCGUGAAGCCGGAAUCGCUAGUAAUCGUGAAUCAGAAUGUCACGGUGAAUACGUUCCCGGGCCUUGUACACACCGCCCGUCACACCAUGGGAGUGGGUUGCUCCAGAAGUAGCUAGUCUAACCGCAAGGGGGACGGUUACCACGGAGUGAUUCAUGACUGGGGUGAAGUCGUAACAAGG
rnacentral:rRNA from 1 species